UGUAUACUAUCCUGGUGACCUAAUACAAUCAUGUAUGAAAUUCAAAAGGAUUGUAGUUUUAUUUUGAAAAUAAGAUAAUUCAACCACAUAGUAAGAUCUCUAGUAAGCCAAUGCAUCAAAACAAUCUCAAAUUAAUGAAUAGAACUUCACUCAAACAUUUCACCAAACACCUAAAUAGCAUAAGUCAAAAUAGGAGUCUUCCAAAUAAGAGUCUUUUAAAUGCUUUUGUUCAUGGGCGCUUGGUAAGGGUUUCAGUUUGCUACCCCAAGUGAGAUUUUCAUUUUUAUAAUAAGGAAAUAGUUCAAAUUUCUGCUGACUAUUGUCUAUAUGAGCAACGAAAUAGCACAAUCAUCUGUUAGUAUAUUUUUAAUUCUUCAUAGCUUAUUGGUAGAAGUAAAUUUAUGCACAUUUGUGAAUUCAGUCACUUGCAAUGAAUUUUCAUACGAGUACGGGACCUUUUUGGCUAUUGUUGUUUGUGCAAAUCUUGUAUUCCUGGCUAUUGAAGCGAAUAUGAUACUAAAUCUUAUAUCUUUUGAAUUCACAGAUCUAAUGUUUUAGUCUUGCAUUAACCAUUUUGCAAAUGUUUCCAUCCACUGGCAUGUUUAUGUGUAUUAUGAUAAUUUAGAGACGGUGGCCCAUAUUAUAUUGAUCUCGUUGAAUUCAAUGGUCAUGUUUGUUACACUUUUAUGUCGGAUUGGUGUAGACCAACUCAUGAAUGAUGCACUUGCAUAAUUUGUUUGAGAAUUGGUCACAUACAGUCACAACUUGUGGUAUUGUAUGAUCUUUUCUGCCAAGUUGACACAUGUGCAGGGCAUGAAAAUGGUAGGCCCAGCCAUGAGGAUUAUGAUUCUAGAAAAUCAGGUUGAUAUGCUGACUAGGUUAGCAUAUAUACAUGAUUGUCUACAAAUUACUGGGUUUCAAGCACUCUCUCUCUAUAUAUAUAUAUAUAUAUAAUUUAGAAGGUCUGCAUGUCUUUAUGACAAAGCUAUGCUGAUGAUGAUUAUUAUUAUCUUUAGCUAAUGGCUACUCUGCUGAGUUCUUAAAUACAGGAUUCAGUGCGCGUGCUUGACUAUAACAACUGUAUUUUGCUUCAUUUGCUAUCACAUUGAUGGCUCUAUCAUAUCUGAUGAUACAAGAAAGUGAAUCCUAUUGGCAUUCAGAAUCCUAAGUGGCAGCAUGAAAUCUUCUAGUAAACCUCAAAAAUUCAUAAAACAAAUCUAUGGGUCUUAAAUUUUCUGUUGUUCUGCCAUUGUACGUGGUAAACCAUCUUCUUUCUACUUUUCUGUUUGCUAUUUUACCUUUUUAUUAUGGAAUUUUACUAAAUUAAAAUAUCUUUCUAGCUACGCAAAAUCUGAAAUUCAGUUCCAAUUUUACUUGGGUUUCCCCCUAGUUAAUGGAAGUUGCAACAUCAUAAGACUAUAUUCAUAAGAGGAUUGCAAGUAUGAGCAUUAUGCAAAGACAUUGAUGGCUAAGUUGUUGAUUGUGGCUGAAAAAAUCCAACAGGUAGUUGGAAUCACGGGCUUGAUUCUGACAAAGCUUGAUGGUUCUGCUUGAGGUGGCUGUGUGGUGAGUGUGGUGGAUGAACUUGGCAUUCCUGUAAAGUUUGUGGGCAUUGGGGAAAGGGUGGAUGACCUUCAGCCAUUUGAUGCAGAGGUCUUUGUUGAUGCCAUUUUCUCCUGAAAAUUGAAGAGAAUGUUCACAUGAACUCUUGAAACAUGCAGGAAGCAGCUGCAUGCAAUUCUAUUCAAGUGAGGAGCCCUGAGCCUUGGGGCUUUUUCAGUGGGGUACAUUGGACUUAGAUUGAAAAAAUAGAGAAAAAAACCUUUUAAAUCACUUUUAAGAUGGCCCUCAUUAGCUGAGAUUCUUUGACAUUAACAGAGCUUGUGUAGGAGAACUACAUCUCACAUGGAGAAACAGGUACUAAAAAGUAGACUAAACAAGUAAUGACUUUUGCUGUCACCUUUUCCAAUUUGGCAGCUACCUUAACUGUUGGCAUCUACCAGAAAAUCAUUGUUUACUUUUUGUCAUAGCUAGACUAGAAGAAAAGCUCUUGGACAUGGUUAGUUCCAUAAAGAAGGAAUAUGAUAAAGCCCAAUCUGAGCUCAAUUUGAGUCGUUCAAAGAUGAAAGAAUGUGACGCUGAGAUCAGUGCCAUUCUCAAGGAGCAACAGAAGCUUCAACAUAAAAUUAGUGAUGCAAAUGUUGAGAGGAAAAAUUGGAAAAUGAGGUACUUGCAGUGGUUAUUUUGUUCCUAUUUUAUUUAACUUGCUUGAUCUAUGAAAUUGUGUAUGUGUUCUUGAUAGAAACCCACUCUUUCCUAUUCACACAGAUUAAGCGAAUGGAGAUGGAACAGAAAGAUUACUCCCUGAAGGUAGAUAAACUACUAGAAAGUCAUAGUUGGAUUGCACUGAGAAACAAUUAUUUGGAAAAAGUGGGACAGAUUAUGACUUCUCAUCUUGUGAUCCUCAUAAAUCAAGGGAGGAGCUUGAGAAACUUCAAUCUGAACA